rnacentral:lncRNA from 1 species
GCUAUAUUUUUGUCUCUAACGGCUAUAUUCUUGUUUCCACUCCAUCUAAAGCUAUAAAAACAAGAAGAGAGCUAGGGGAGAACUCAUGGGAGUGGGAGAAAACAUUUAGGAAAGAGAUUACAAGGAAAAUCUUCCAUAAGCACAAAAAGGGCCAUCCAAAGAGAAAUAGAGAGAAGAAGAGCUUCCAAGUGUAUCCUAAAGCUUCCUCUCCAUCCGUGUGCUGCCGCGGUGAUCCUCUACUUCGUGCCAAAUCAGAAGAGGGUCAAGUAAAGAAGAAGUCGAGCUCCUCCAUCUUCAAAACUCGUUUGAGGGCUUCUCUUUACUCUAUCUGUUUAUAUUGUUAUAUUUGCUUGUUUAAGAAGCUUUGAUUUGUUUUAUUCUUUGUUUUAAUAUCUUGUAACUUGAUUCAAUCAAGGGAUUGAAUCAAGGGGUUAAAGGUUUGUUGGUAAGCCAAAGGAAAACCAACGGGGUUUAAGGUUUGUUGGUGAGCCAAGGGAAAAACCAACGGAGUUUAGGUUUGUUGGUGAGCCGAGGGUAAAACCAACGUGUAAGGGUUUGAUUGUGAGCUCGGGAAAACAAUCGGAGUGGUUCUAGUCGGUGAGCCUGGGAAAACCGACCGAGUUCGUUGUGCGCUCGUAAAACAACAAGUUGGGUUGUGAGCUUGUAAAACAACCGGCUGUAAUCUAUAGGAUUAUAGUAGAAUUCCCAAGAGGUCUUGGGGAGUGGAUGUAGGUGCUGGGAUGCACCGAACCACUAUAUUUUUGUUGUGUUUGUGAUGCUCUUUGUUGACUGACCUCCUCACUCACUUACUUAGAUAUUAAGCUUGCUUAACUCUUCUUCGUGCAUCCUUUAGUUGCAAGCAUAAUCAAUUUACUCAAUCAUUAAAUUGAAUAGCAUACUAGGGCAAAAUUAGGCUAAUCUUUUAUUGAACCCACUGCUUAAUUAAUUGAUUAGAUUAGAAUCAUACUCUUGCUAAGGUUAAGCUUCACUAAGCAUCCAUACAACUUAGCAUAAUUAAUCUAAAAGAUUAGAAGUA